rnacentral:rRNA from 1 species
UACGGGGGGGGCAAGCGUUGUUCGGAAUUACUGGGCGUAAAGGGCUCGUAGGCGGCCCACUAAGUCGGACGUGAAAUCCCCAGGCUCAACCUGGGAACUGCGUCCGAUACUGGAUGGCUUGAAUUCGGGAGAGGGAUGCAGAAUUCCAGGUGUAGCGGUGAAAUGCGUAGAUAUCUGGAGGAAUACCGGUGGCGAAGGCGGCAACCUGGACCAUUACUGACGCUGAGGCGCGAAAGCUAGGGGAGCAAACGGG